rnacentral:rRNA from 1 species
UCUAGAGAUUAGUUUGAUCCUGGCUCAGAUUGAACGCUGGCGGCAGGCCUAACACAUGCAAGUCGGGCGGUAGAGAGAAGCUUGCUUCUCUUGAGAGCGGCGGACGGGUGAGUAAUGCCUAGGAAUCUGCCUGGUAGUGGGGGAUAACGUUCGGAAACGAACGCUAAUACCGCAUACGUCCUACGGGAGAAAGCAGGGGACCUUCGGGCCUUGCGCUAUCAGAUGAGCCUAGGUCGGAUUAGCUAGUUGGUGAGGUAAUGGCUCACCAAGGCGACGAUCCGUAACUGGUCUGAGAGGAUGAUCAGUCACACUGGAACUGAGACACGGUCCAGACUCCUACGGGAGGCAGCAGUGGGGAAUAUUGGACAAUGGGCGAAAGCCUGAUCCAGCCAUGCCGCGUGUGUGAAGAAGGUCUUCGGAUUGUAAAGCACUUUAAGUUGGGAGGAAGGGCAGUUACCUAAUACGUGAUUGUUUUGACGUUACCGACAGAAUAAGCACCGGCUAACUCUGUGCCAGCAGCCGCGGUAAUACAGAGGGUGCAAGCGUUAAUCGGAAUUACUGGGCGUAAAGCGCGCGUAGGUGGUUUGUUAAGUUGGAUGUGAAAUCCCCGGGCUCAACCUGGGAACUGCAUUCAAAACUGACUGACUAGAGUAUGGUAGAGGGUGGUGGAAUUUCCUGUGUAGCGGUGAAAUGCGUAGAUAUAGGAAGGAACACCAGUGGCGAAGGCGACCACCUGGACUAAUACUGACAC